UACGAAGGUGGCAAGCGUUGUUCGGAUUUACUGGGCGUACAGGGGGCGUAGGCGGUUGGAUAAGCCCUCCGUGAAAUCUCCAGGCUUAACCUGGAAAGUGCAGAGGGGACUGUUCAGCUAGAGGAUGGGAGAGGAGCGCGGAAUUCCCGGUGUAGCGGUGAAAUGCGUAGAGAUCGGGAGGAAGGCCGGUGGCGAAGGCGGCGCUCUGGAACAUUUCUGACGCUGAGGCUCGAAAGCGUGGGGAGCAAACAGG
rnacentral:rRNA from 1 species